rnacentral:misc_RNA from 1 species
CAAUGGAACGCUAUUGACAUGGUUUAACACAACAUCACAGAAUGUAUAACGUUAACAUUCAACAUUACAAUUCAGAUAGUCACACAACAACCAGACAAGAUGCAUGUCCAUCAUUUGUUAAUUGUUUGUAGCAGUUAAACAGUAACACAAAUAGUUGUCCUAAUAGCACUGGUUCAGUAUGAUAUUUCAAAUUGCCUUAUGGCGAUUAGGCAACUAUGUGAACAAAUUCCCAUUAGUUCAAUGAGAAAUUGUUCCUUUGACCCCAGUGCAUCCAAAAGCAAGUCAAAACAUCAUCAUUCCCAGCACACUCUGAAAUUUGCUAGAACAGUACAAGGUUAACAAUUUAAGCUGAUAUAAGACUUUCCAUGUCCAUGACACAUCAGAAGCUUUUGUGCAUAUUUAAGCAAGGUUGG